rnacentral:lncRNA from 1 species
AUGCCUGUACUAGGUCACAAUAAUGGCUGCCGCCAAUGUCUCAGUCCCCAGGAGGUGAUCCUAGCCACUUCCUGCCUCGCCAAGAUGCACCCAGAGCCUAUCGAGUCUGUGGAUCAGCUGUCACUCUGCUGGACUCAGCUGGGCUAUUCCCAUUUCCAGAAAGUCGUCUCUGGAAGAAUGAAGAUCUUUUUGAGCACAUAGCUGAAAAGGGAGCCCAGCCGUAGGAUAAUGACUCUACUUCUGGUUUCUGGACAGAGUGGUCAUCCUUUAUCCAGGAGUUAGUGAGAACACUGGGUGUGGCAAAAGAGAAUCUGUCUUGGUGCUGAAAUUGAAAGUGAAAGUGGAGAGACUUUCUGCAGGUUAAGUUCUCCAAACCCUGAGAUGAGGAUUUGGGUAAAUUAUUCUUAAGUGUGUUCCCAGGAAAUACUAAAAGGGAAGAAAGGAAGUGGGACUGCGAAUGCCAAGUAGAAGAGGCCAACCAAGGAUGCCAUCUUGAGUAUGUGGAAUUGAGAAAAGAAGGAGUCAGUCAUGUUAAGGCACUAAAAUGGGGCUGGGGGGACGCGAAGAGGAGAGGAGCAAAUUCCCCCUUCACCAUGAACUCUUGAACUCAUUAGAUGCCUGAAACGCAUCUGCAAGCCUUCUCGAGGAAGAUAAGAUUAUUGGGACCAAGACCUCAUUCCUGUCAGGGUCAUCUUCUACAUUCCUAAUUUUAAUGGCUUGUUUCAACUGACUCUCACUCCAUGACUACUUGUGCCUGGAAUUUGUUAAAAGACAUUCCUUUUUUUUCCCCCUUUGCCUUUGUUGGCCACAACUAUAAAACCUUUCCUCUUUCUUCAACAGCUGGAACACAAUUCAAGUGCUGCUUGAGUCUGUGUUCCCGGGCUGCAGUCCUAACAAACCUUGAGUAAACUUUUUGUUCAAGUCUAAAAAAUGAGAAAAAAAAAAGAAUGGAGAUGUUUCAUAACUUAAAUGUUCUCCACCCAAUGUGGUGAUCUGCAAACCUCAUUUAGAGACCUCAUCUUUAUUGUGGGGCAGAGACUAUGUCUGACAUGGAAAGGGAGGACCUGUAUGGCCACUGAAUUGUCCUAGACAGCCCCUGCUCCAUCUGAGCCUCUUGAUUUCUUGAAACAUGAGAUUAUUAGUAAAGCUUCAUACUGAAUAAGAGCUCUAAUUUGUGAGUCUAGUUUAACAAUCUGAUCCUUUGUGAUAGUUCAACAUGGGUGGUAGCCACAUCUUUCUAACUUCCAAUUUUCUCCUAAAUUCUUCAUCGAUAUUUCUAACUACUUGCUGAACGUAUCUAAAUAUUUUAUCAGUACCUCAAAAUCAACAUAUCUAACAAUACACUUCUUAUCUACCGCCUAAAUCAGUUCCUGCUUCUGAAUUUCCAAUCACUCAGCCACAGGCAUCAGCAUCAUCCCUUCCUGCUCCUCCUUCCUCAACUCCAGGAACACUUUAAAACCUUUGCUCCAUUCAUCUCUUCCUUUGUAUUUUCACUCCCAUUUAAUUGGUCUUUCUGCUUCCAGUCCUUCUGGCCACUAAUCCAUCCAACAUAUUGAUCUUCUUAUAGCACUCUUCUGCAUAACACAUGAUGGGCUUCUGGGGAAAUAUGGUGGAGGUGAUAUAGGAUCAUAAAAUCUGAUGAAAUAAACAACAGUAAGAUAUAGAUAGACA